UCCCUGCAGAAUACUACACUCCAGGUGGUC
rnacentral:piRNA from 1 species